GGAGGGUCCUGCCAAGUUUCCGCAGUAGGGGAUGCGACGUUGCUGCUGCGUGCGAUCCGAAAUGAGCAAUUUGCAGAGGCUCGCUCUUGAAGAGUACCGUGGGAUCUCGAGCACCUUCAAGCCAACUGCGCAGAGGCCUCACUGUUCCCACUGUGCUGGAAACCCAGCACCAGGGAAAGGAUUCAGUUACAAGGCGGUGAACCUUCGACUUACUUGGAUGCGAACUCUGCCUUGGCACAGGGAGUGCAGCUCUCAUAAGCCUGGAUUACCAACCCUAUUGCACUGCGGCAGUGUAGACGCAAUGCAAGAGCCAAGGACUCACGGACAAACUGGCCACCUUAUUGGACAAGUGAAAUUUCCACCGAUUGCUUUGGAAAGUCAACAGAGGUGAGCAGCGCAGCAUCCCAUGUUAGUCAACAGGGUGCCACCUUCCACGGGAAGCCAGGACAACCCUCGACCGCUCGAGAACAGGGCCAGGGAAAUGGGUCAAUCAUCCACGUGCUCAACUCCUGCCAUGAGAGAUCGGUUCCCCGUGGCAUCGUCACCACUCACUCUGCCUCGUCUGAAGCUGCUAAAUGGAUCGCUAACCUCGACAUCAAACUGCACCUGCUUCCCCAGCCAUACGAAGAAGAAAAAGAUUUGAACUUGGUGUCACAUGUGGUGUAAUUCUCGCGUCGGUGCAAAUUCUAUUUUCGGGCAUUUGCUGAAAAUAAAGAAGCCAAACUUGAUUUGAAGAAAGCCAAUUUGACAGAUUGGCAGAAUAUUAUAAUUAUGAAUGUGUUCUUUUCGUUUAUUUCAUAACACAUGCACAUUUAUAUUUUUAAACGUAAUAAUGUGAUAGUUUUAAUUCAUUUACGAUUUUUAUUCUCCGAAGGAUGUUGUUGCUUUCAUUCAAUAUGCCUCUAUAAUCAUUUUAUUUAAUCUAUUCCCUGAUUUUCGUGGGAAAUUUCUUAGCUGGCCAUUUUAUAUGCAUCAGUCCAAGGGGCACGGUAGUAAAACCCCACAACUUCUCAUCGGAAGGUCCCAAGUUCAAAGCCUCUGGUUAUGGGCCACUUUGUGGAAAGUCAACGCCGGUCGUCCAAAGAAUAAACUCGCCUCUGCCACACUAACGUGGAAUUUACACCACCGCACAUCUCCCAGGGCCAACGACGGAGAUGGCCAUUGCCCCAUACUCAUUGUGUGGAUGGAGACACCAGACUUUCCUUUUUGGCCGGGGCCGACAUCAGGCUACCAUGAGACCUACAAGAAGCUGCUGCUACUGACCCCUUGCGCACAGAAAUUGCCGACACGUGUUGGCACCGACAGCGCGCCCUCCCCAUUCCCUCCUGCCAAUCCCUUCCCCUUGGCUCCCUUCGUAUCCCCUCCCUUGCUGGCUGUGCCAGAACACCCCCGGGGUGCAUUGGAGGUUUGGCGCAUAGCAGCAGCAGCAGCAGCCAGUCAGUGCUCCGCCACCCCCUAGUGUUUUAAGGGAGGUCGUGCCUGUGUUGCUCUUGGGCUGGAAAGCGACGCGCGCUGCCCGUUUGUGUAAUAAGGCAGGAAUGCGUGCAUCACUUCUGAGACACUCGCCGUUGUAUGAAUGCCGUGCACACAUACUCGUGUGCUUGCAAAACGCCGUUGAGCUCAGACUGCAUUUCAAUUACCUCCUUAAUCUCAUUGUCCACGCUCAUUAUUCCGGCGCCACCGCAUCUCAGCAUAGUAAUAUUGGAGCAUGGUUUUGCCGUGUAAAACAAACAAAAAACAUGUUCAGUCGCGUAAUUCAAUCAGUGCCUUACCACUUCGCCCGCAAACGAAUUCGAUGGCUGUGCCCUGAUCCGUAUGCUAGCAGUCAUCGUGAACCAUCGCUCUGCUGUUGCAGUGCGCCUGCAUUUCGUGUCCGUACCACGGGACGUUUAAUACACAUUGUAAGAACAAAAAUACAUAGGAGGCAUUCGUUUUCAAGCAACCCUCGUGAUACUGUGUUUCAUAAUGUGUGUCUGAUGCCAGUGGUGGAAAUACCACGAAUUCCAUGUCAGGUCCCGGUCCCUCCAUUGGAAUUCCUACAGUCGCCUUGUACAAAUGAGUUUUAAUAUCGCUGACACUGAGUGCCAUUCACACGUGGCUAUACACGCGUUAACGUUCAUCAUCGUCAUGGCCACCAGGCAUUGUCUACCUAGUGCUCGAUGAAGGCCUCCCCGUGCCAUAGCCACCCCUCAAAGUCCAUUGCUGCAACCAUCCAUCCCACCCCUGCACAUGGAAAUAUCUCUUCGCCCCAUCUUUGCGUUGGGCUUCCUCUUGAAUGUGUCUUGUCCAUCGGCCAUUCGUGAUGUCAGAAUCAUGAUCUGAAUAUUUAGUCAUACUGGAGGAAUCCGAUAGGGUCAGGUAAGAACGUUACAACAGCAAACAAUACAAACAAAACACGAUAGGAGUCCAAAGUAUGGGAAAUGUAAGCAGAUAUUGCCUUGUCUUGAUUCUCAAUGUGAUGUCUAUGAUGUGUAUCUGUGUCCUGAGCCAUACGUUCAAUUUUCUGUCUGGUCUCUCAAUGUAAAGUUGCAUUCACAACAAUGUUGAGCACUUGAUUGAGUUGCACUUUUUCUCUGCUAAUGAGUAAUUGAGUGACACAAAUCCUGCAUUUAUUGAAUACAUCAAUUCACUCUUCCCUCUCUCCUCAUUAUAUAACGUUGAUUCCUUUACUGCCAGUGAGGCAUCCACAUGAAUCAGUGAAUGAAACUUGUGGUGAAGGUCAAUAGUUCAUCGUGACCUAUACCAUGGAUAGCAUUACACCUUACCAUCGCGUCCUUCCUUCUGCUAGAUCCAGCAGCUGUUGCACUGCUGAUGAACAUCUUCCCAAGGCUACUUUACCAGCAUCUCACUCUCUGUUCUUUCGGUCUUUUCAUUGGUCACCGACCUGUGGGUUCCACUCAAAUGGCCUGCCUCGGUCACAUGCCCUCCACCAUCCUGAACACGUGACCCCCUCCACCAAACUAAACCUCCACUUCCUGAUUAUAUCUGCAACACUUCCUUGCCACUUUCCUCUCUGAACUUCAAACAUAUGUUUUACCCUACCCUGCCACGCAGUUGCCACGAUAUCCUCCAAAAGCUUCGUUAAAGUCUGGCUUUCUCACUGUAAACUAAUAGACGUGAAUUC